rnacentral:rRNA from 1 species
UGAGGAAUAUUGGGCAAUGCCCGCAAGGGUGACCCAGCAACGCCGCGUGGAGGAUGAAUGUCGUAAGAUUGUAAACUCCUGUUAGAGGGGAAGAAUAGUACCGGUUGGACCGGUAUAUGACUGUACCCUCAGAGAAAGCCCCGGCUAACUACGUGCCAGCAGCCGCGGUAAUACGUAGGGGGCAAGCGUUGUCCGGAUUUACUGGGUGUAAAGGGCGCGCAGGCGGGAUAAAAAGUCGGUGGUGAAAUCCUACAGCUUAACUGUAGAACUGCCUUUGAUACUUUUAUUCUUGAGUUCGGGAGAGAGAGACGGAAUUCCAGGUGUAGUGGUGAAAUACGUAGAUAUCUGGAAGAACACCAGUUGCGAAGGCGGUCUCUUGGUCCGACACUGACGCUGAGGCGCGAAAGCGUGGGGAGCAGACA